rfam:Lepisosteus oculatus unplaced genomic scaffold TNK103, whole genome shotgun sequence.
GCCUCGUUAGCGCAGUAGGUAGCGCGUCAGCCUCAUAAUCUGAAGGGCGUGAGUUUGAUCUUCACACGGGGCA